ACGUAGGUGGCAAGCGUUGUCCGGAUUUAUUGGGUUUAAAGGGUGCGUAGGCGGCCCCGUAAGUCAGUGGUGAAAUACGGCAGCUCAACUGUCGAUGUGCCAUUGAUACUGCGGGGCUUGAGUACAGUCGAGGCAGGCGGAAUUGACGGUGUAGCGGUGAAAUGCUUAGAUAUCGUCAAGAACACCGAUAGCGAAGGCAGCUUGCUAGGCUGUAACUGACGCUGAGGCACGAAAGUGCGGGGAUCAAACAGGAUUAGAUACCCUGGUAGUCCGCACAGUAAACGAUGGUCACUCGGUGUCGGCGGUACACUGCCGGCGCCUUAGCGAAAGCGUUAAGUGACCCACCUGGGGAGUACGCCCGCAAGGGUG
rnacentral:rRNA from 1 species